rnacentral:rRNA from 1 species
AUUGAACGCUGGCGGCAGGCCUAACACAUGCAAGUCGAGCGAGCGGCGGACGGGUGAGUAAUGUCUGGGAAACUGCCUGAUGGAGGGGGAUAACUACUGGAAACGGUAGCUAAUACCGCAUACCAUCAGAUGUGCCCAGAUGGGAUUAGCUAGUAGGUGGGGUAAUGGCUCACCUAGGUGACGCUCCCUAGCUGGUCUGGGAGGAUGACCAGCGACACUGGAACUGAGGCACGGUCCAGACUCGUACGGGGGGCAGCGGGGGGGAAUAUUGCACAAUGGGCGCAAGCCUAAUGCAGCCAUGCCGCGUGUGUGAAGAAGGCCUUCGGGUUGUAAACUCCUUGCACCAUCGACGCGGUAGAUGGAGAAGAAGCACCGGCUAACUACGUGCCAGCAGCCGCGGUAAUUC